rnacentral:rRNA from 1 species
AAUCGCUAGUAAUCGCGGAUCAGCACGCCGCGGUGAAUACGUUCCCGGGCCUUGUACACACCGCCCGUCACACCAUGAGAGUCUGUAACACCCAAAGCCGGUGGGAUAACCUUUAUAGGAGUCAGCCGUCUAAGGUAGGACAGAUGAUUAGGGUGAAGUCGUAACAAGGUAGC